rnacentral:sRNA from 1 species
UUUUGUCAUGUUGACUUCGGAGAUCUUGUUCGUAAUUCUGUGAUAAUGUUUGAUAACUUCUCUGCCCAGUUUGUUUGAAAUUCAGUACUUGAUGUUCUCUAUUGGACAGAAGAUGAACAUAUGGACUACGACACUUGGACAAUCCGUAAUGGACAACCACACAUUUUGUUUGCAGCGUAUGUGUCGUUACAAAAUUGAAAAUCAUUGUCCACGACUAUACAUGACUGCACAGCUUGGUGUUUGAUAAUUC